rnacentral:rRNA from 1 species
UACGUAGGGGGCAAGCGUUGUCCGGAAUCAUUGGGCGUAAAGAGCUCGUAGGCGGUUCGGUAAGUCGGGUGUGAAACCUCCAGGCUCAACCUGGAGACGCCACCCGAUACUGCUGUGACUCGAGUCCGGUAGGGGAGCGUGGAAUUCCCGGUGUAGCGGUGAAAUGCGCAGAUAUCAGGAGGAACACCGGUGGCGAAGGCGGUUCGCUGGGAAUAUUCUGACGCUGAGGAGCGAAAGUGUGGGGAGCGAACAGG